rnacentral:rRNA from 1 species
CCUACGGGAGGCAGCAGUAGGGAAUCUUCCGCAAUGGGCGAAAGCCUGACGGAGCAACGCCGCGUGAGUGAUGAAGGUCUUCGGAUCGUAAAACUCUGUUAUUAGGGAAGAACAAAUGUGUAAGUAACUAUGCACGUCUUGACGGUACCUAAUCAGAAAGCCACGGCUAACUACGUGCCAGCAGCCGCGGUAAUACGUAGGUGGCAAGCGUUAUCCGGAAUUAUUGGGCGUAAAGCGCGCGUAGGCGGUUUUUUAAGUCUGAUGUGAAAGCCCACGGCUCAACCGUGGAGGGUCAUUGGAAACUGGAAAACUUGAGUGCAGAAGAGGAAAGUGGAAUUCCAUGUGUAGCGGUGAAAUGCGCAGAGAUAUGGAGGAACACCAGUGGCGAAGGCGACUUUCUGGUCUGUAACUGACGCUGAUGUGCGAAAGCGUGGGGAUCAAACAGGAUUAGAUACCCUGGUAGUCCACGCCGUAAACGAUGAGUGCUAAGUGUUAGGGGGUUUCCGCCCCUUAGUGCUGCAGCUAACGCAUUAAGCACUCCGCCUGGGGAGUACGACCGCAAGGUUGAACUUAAAGGAAUUGACGG